rnacentral:rRNA from 1 species
GACGAACGCUGGCGGCGUGCUUAACACAUGCAAGUCGAACGAAGUGGCGAACGGGUGAGUAAUACGUGGGUAACCUGCCCUCCUUUUUGGGAUAAGCCUUGGAAACGGGGUCUAAUACCGACUAAAGGGGGAUGGGCUCGCGGCCUAUCAGCUUGUUGGGGGGGUGAUGGCCUACCAAGGCGGUGCCGGGUAGCCGGGCUGAGAGGGAGACCGGCCCCAUUGGGACUGCGAUACUGCUAAGACACCUACGGGAGGGAGCUGUUGGGGAAUUUGCGCAAGGGUGGAAGGCCUGAUGCGGGUACGUCACGUGGGGGAUGAAGGCUUUCGGGUUGUAAGCCGGUUACGCUAUCGAACGGGUAGGUGGAGAAGAAGCGCCGGCUAACUACGUGCCAGCAGCCGCGGUAAUAC